CUUUCCUACGGGAGGCAGCAGUGGGGAAUAUUGCACAAUGGCCGGAAGGCUGAACCAGCCAAGCCGCGUGAAGGACGAAGGUGCCAAGCAUUGUAAACUUCUUUUGUCAAGGGACAAAAUCAGGCUCGAGAGCCUGACCGAGGGUACUUGAAGAAAAAGCAUCGGCUAACUCCGUGCCAACAGCCGCGGUAAUACGGGGGAUGCGAGCGUUAUCCGGAUUUAUUGGGUUUAAAGGGUGCGUAGGCGGACUGUUAAGUCAGCGGUAAAAGCCCGGGGCUCAACCCCGGCGAGCCGUUGAAACUGGC
rnacentral:rRNA from 1 species